AAUGGGUCAGCGACUUAUAUUCUGUAGCAAGGUUAACCGUAUAGGGGAGCCGGAGGGAAACCGAGUCUUAACCGGGCGUUAAGUUGCAGGGUAUAGACCCGAAACCCGGUGAUCUAGCCAUGGGCAGGUUGAAGGUUGGGUAACACUAACUGGAGGACCGAACCGACUAAUGUUGAAAAAUUAGCGGAUGACCUGUGGCUGGGGGUGAAAGGCCAAUCAAACCGGGAGAUAGCUGGUUCUCCCCGAAAGCUAUUUAGGUAGCGCCUCGUGAAUUCAUCUCCGGGGGUAGAGCACUGUUUCGGCUAGGGGGCCAUCCCGGCUUACCAACCCGAUGCAAACUGCGAAUACCGGAGAAUGUUAUCACGGGAGACACACGGCGGGUGCUAACGUCCGUCGUGAAGAGGGAAACAACCCAGACCGCCAGCUAAGGUCCCAAAGUCAUGGUUAAGUGGGAAACGAUGUGGGAAGGCCCAGACAGCCAGGAUGUUGGCUUAGAAGCAGCCAUCAUUUAAAGAAAGCGUAAUAGCUCACUGGUCGAGUCGGCCUGCGCGGAAGAUGUAACGGGGCUAAACCAUGCACCGAAGCUGCGGCAGCGACACUGUGUGUUGUUGGGUAGGGGAGCGUUCUGUAAGCCUGUGAAGGUGUGCUGUGAGGCAUGCUGGAGGUAUCAGAAGUGCGAAUGCUGACAUAAGUAACGAUAAAGCGGGUGAAAAGCCCGCUCGCCGGAAGACCAAGGGUUCCUGUCCAACGUUAAUCGGGGCAGGGUGAGUCGACCCCUAAGGCGAGGCCGAAAGGCGUAGUCGAUGGGAAACGGGUUAAUAUUCCCGUACUUGGUGUUACUGCGAAGGGGGGACGGAGAAGGCUAUGUUGGCCGGGCGACGGUUGUCCCGGUUUAAGCGUGUAGGUGUGUGUUCCAGGUAAAUCCGGUUCACUUUAACACUGAGGCGUGAUGACGAGGCACUACGGUGCUGAAGCAACAAAUGCCCUGCUUCCAGGAAAAGCCUCUAAGCAUCAGGUAACAUCAAAUCGUACCCCAAACCGACACAGGUGGUCAGGUAGAGAAUACCAAGGCGCUUGAGAGAACUCGGGUGAAGGAACUAGGCAAAAUGGUGCCGUAACUUCGGGAGAAGGCACGCUGACACGUAGGUGAAGUGAUUUACUCACGGAGCUGAAGUCAGUCGAAGAUACCAGCUGGCUGCAACUGUUUAUUAAAAACACAGCACUGUGCAAACACGAAAGUGGACGUAUACGGUGUGACGCCUGCCCGGUGCCGGAAGGUUAAUUGAUGGGGUCAGCGCAAGCGAAGCUCCUGAUCGAAGCCCCGGUAAACGGCGGCCGUAACUAUAACGGUCCUAAGGUAGCGAAAUUCCUUGUCGGGUAAGUUCCGACCUGCACGAAUGGCGUAAUGAUGGCCAGGCUGUCUCCACCCGAGACUCAGUGAAAUUGAACUCGCUGUGAAGAUGCAGUGUACCCGCGGCAAGACGGAAAGACCCCGUGAACCUUUACUAUAGCUUGACACUGAACAUUGAGCCUUGAUGUGUAGGAUAGGUGGGAGGCUUUGAAGCGUGGACGCCAGUCUGCGUGGAGCCGACCUUGAAAUACCACCCUUUAAUGUUUGAUGUUCUAACGUGGACCCGUGAUCCGGGUUGCGGACAGUGUCUGGUGGGUAGUUUGACUGGGGCGGUCUCCUCCUAAAGAGUAACGGAGGAGCACGAAGGUUGGCUAAUCCUGGUCGGACAUCAGGAGGUUAGUGCAAUGGCAUAAGCCAGCUUGACUGCGAGCGUGACGGCGCGAGCAGGUGCGAAAGCAGGUCAUAGUGAUCCGGUGGUUCUGAAUGGAAGGGCCAUCGCUCAACGGAUAAAAGGUACUCCGGGGAUAACAGGCUGAUACCGCCCAAGAGUUCAUAUCGACGGCGGUGUUUGGCACCUCGAUGUCGGCUCAUCACAUCCUGGGGCUGAAGUAGGUCCCAAGGGUAUGGCUGUUCGCCAUUUAAAGUGGUACGCGAGCUGGGUUUAGAACGUCGUGAGACAGUUCGGUCCCUAUCUGCCGUGGGCGCUGGAGAACUGAGGGGGGCUGCUCCUAGUACGAGAGGACCGGAGUGGACGCAUCACUGGUGUUCGGGUUGUCAUGCCAAUGGCACUGCCCGGUAGCUAAAUGCGGAAGAGAUAAGUGCUGAAAGCAUCUAAGCACGAAACUUGCCCCGAGAUGAGUUCUCCCUGAGACUACGAGUCUCCUGAAGGAACGUUGAAGACGACGACGUUGAUAGGCCGGGUGUGUAAGCGCAGCGAUGCGUUGAGCUAACCGGUACUAAUGAACCGUGAGGCUUAACCUU
rnacentral:rRNA from 1 species